AGGCUGACUCCGGAGCUAGAGAGGAGCACAUUCGAGCGAGAAGCUACGAGUUCAAGCCCCUACCUACCGACCGACCUGUGGUCUCUGAAGUUGGACAAUGCUCCCCAACAGGUGCAAACAGAAUACCUGUUUGACCGGGCUUUGUCUCUAGGAAACUACAUACGAGGUGAUGGAAAUGCUAUUAAGAGUGAUGUGAAUUAACACAGAGACCUACAAUUGAUUCAGGGAUCUAUGUAGAAGAGGAAGCAGGGAGAUUCUAAGAGCCAGAGAUGGUGGAUGACUUCAAAGAAACAAUGUUUUCCAGCUACAACAGAGUCACUGUGAGGAUCCAGACAAGGCACAGAAGAGAGUUUUGGGAAUCGCCAGAGCUCUGCAAAGAAUUGAGAGGUGUCAGCACUGACCUUGUGAUCUCCACCAAUCAACUGUUCUAAAGUUCAGUUUUAGCAAAAAAACUAGACAGGACUCAAGGUUUGCAGCAGUAUGGAGGCUGGCAGGAUUGCCCAAGCAGAAGGCUGAGGCCACAAGAGGAACAAUCUGUUGGAGCAAGGCUUUGGAGCACUUGUUCGUGAAGGGUGUAAUAAUAAGUGCCGUGGUGUGGGAACUUAAACAAAUAAGAAUCUCCUUCCUCAAAGUUUGAGAGGCCCAAGAUUCAAGAUGGACAUGUCCACAGGAUGGGCGUCCUUCACUCCUGGUUUGCAAACAGUCACCCCCUGUCUGUGUCUACAUAAGCUCUUACCAUGUGUGUUUCUUCCUGGUGCCUCUCAGAGUCGAUGUUGCUUUUUUUCAUAAGAGUACCAAUUAAGGAUGACUUAGGGACCCUAAAUAGACCCAUUUUAACUACAUUAUCUUUUCACUGUUAUUUUCUUGGUUUCCUAAGGAUCAGACAAGGGGCCUUACGUAUGAUAGGUGAGUGCUCUACCAGUGAGCUACACACCCAGCACCCUUAAUAACAGCUUUAAAGAGCAGCCCUCCAAUGCAAAUACCUUCUUAAGUACUAGCAAUUGGGGCUCUAAUAUGAAUUUAGAAACAUGCAUUUAGAAGAAAGGGGCACAAAACAGCCCUUAUUCAAGGACACUUGAGCACUUGGUGGCUUCAUGGCACCUCUCUAUACACUCUCAGUGCCACCUCUAGACCCCACUUAACAUGAGGAAGAUGCCUCCCUUGCAUUAAGCUUUGUGUCCAGGCACUUCUCAUCCAUGCAGGUAGCCGCAUUCCCUAACUGAUACGUAGCAUCUCACUUCAGCUGUUCUUGUUCACCUCUUUUGAAUCUUGUAUGGAGUGGAGUUCCCUCUUCAAUUAAAAGAAAUUAUUC
rnacentral:lncRNA from 1 species